GCUCCGGUAGCUCAGUUGGUAGAGCAGUGGCCUUUUAAGCCAUAGGUCGUGGGUUCGAGUCCCACCCGGGGCA
rnacentral:tRNA from 3 species